rnacentral:rRNA from 1 species
UACGUAGGGACCAAGCGUUGUUCGGAUUUACUGGGCGUAAAGGGCGCGUAGGCGGCAAUUCAAGUCACUUGUGAAAUCUCUGAGCUUAACUCAGAACGGUCAAGUGAUACUGCUUUGCUAGAGUGCAGAAGGGGCAACCGGAAUUCUUGGUGUAGCGGUGAAAUGCGUAGAUAUCAAGAGGAACACCGGAGGUGAAGACGGGUUGCUGGGCUGACACUGACGCUGGGGCGCGAAAGCUAGGGUAGCAAACGGG